rnacentral:lncRNA from 1 species
GGAGGUUUUAAAGGCUCCUUGUAAAAACGACACGCAGACGCCAUCCGGAGGCCAUGGGGGAGGGGCGCGCCUGCAGAUUUGCAUUUUAUUUGGUUUGUGCUCAGAGGGGAGAGAGGGCCCUACUGCCCCCCUCCCAGCCAAGAGCGGCUGGCGGGCGGCUGCAGGUUCCAGGCCAAGUACGCUUUGGGGUCUAAGAAGAGCAAAUUCAGAACGGCGCAUUUGGAUGGGAAAGGCGUACGAUGAUGACGAAGUUUAGAAAAUGCAGGAUAACUGUUCCUCAGAGCUGCUGGGGAGAGACCUUGAGCUCUUCCUAAAAGCAAAGAAGAGGCCAACCUUCCUAGCCUGAGGAUGGUCAGGGCAGCGGACUGAUGUCUUCGCUCCUUCCACACACAUGUGUUCGGUCCCCAGCGAGCCGAGGAGACAGCAGAGGUUGGAGCUGCCUCGGAACUCCCUGGGCCAUUCCUGCUCGGCUGGGAAACAACGCCAAACACAAUGGAAAUGGAAUCCAGGGCAGAGCGAGGGGCCGCGGCUUCCAUCGGUGCCCAGGGAAGCCCUGCGCGCAGGCUCUGGGGGACAUCUGGUUGGCUUCCCUGGGGUGGCAGGGAGACCGCUUCUUAAGACAGUGUCACAGAGCCGCACACAGGGAAGCAGCUGGAAAUGACAGUCGCUGUUCUGGGCGGCCCAGCUCCCAGCUGCACCUCAGGACUGCUGCUCCUCGGAGAGAGGGUAGAGGAGGCGCUGGGGAGGGCUCAGGUGUGUCACUCCUGCCCCACAGUGGCCCUGUCUGCUCCCCCCCACCCCCCCGUCCACCUCCUGCCGGGUGGCCUUGCUGUUCCCCGUGCCCCCUGGGAGGGGGUCACCGCCCAGUAGCCCUGCUUUGCUCUGCAGCCCCCCAGUCCCGAGCACAGAGCCUGUCACGCUGUCCACCCACCCAGGUGCCCGCCUCCAGUGGGCGGCCCCAGAGAGAACACACUUGACCUGUGCUGGCUGCUGCACAGCGGCGGGUGGGGCUGAGUUCACCUGCUGUUUGCAUUUUUAAAAAGAUUCUUCAUUUUGAGAAUUCAUAAAAAACAAUUUUGUUCAAAUGAG